rnacentral:sRNA from 1 species
CACCACUGCAAGAGGGGAAGUUGCUACUGUGAUGAAUUCUGCCAUGUGGCACCAGACUGCCACCCAGACCACAGUGUCCUCUGCAACCCUGCUUCUCAGAUGACCAAGAUGGUGCUGCAGAUGGUGCUGAGGAUGGAGAACCCACCAAGCCCCGCUAGGAGCCACCUAGACUGGAUGCAGAGCAUGGCCCAUCAGAAACUCAAAAGAAUGCGACCUUUGUCUCUCACCCACCUGUGACCUGGAAGCUUUCUCCUGGCUGCGAGUUGUCCCACGUUUGCUUGGCGUUGCCCGGCCUUUUCCAGACUGAACCAAUGUUCAUCUUACAUGUGUUGAUUGAUGUCUCAUGUCUCCCUAAAACGUAUGACCACCUUGGCACAUGUCGUCAGGACAUCCUGAGGCUGUGUCACGGGUGUGCAUCUUCAACCUUGGAACAAUAAACUUUCUAAAUUAACUGA